UUAAAAACAAAAUAAAUUUGUUUGUUGUUAUUUAUCAUUUCUAAAGCAUUUUCGAAGCCCAUCUCGAAUUUUACACUCCUCUAACCUAAAAUCCUAGGUUAAAAUCGCCUCCAAACGCGAUUCUCAAAUUCCAUUCCUCUGAAUUUCUUUUCUACUCCCAGUAAUGAUUUUACUUAUUAAUGUGAUAUAGCCAUAUAGGGCUUCAUUUAUCCUCUUGGUGUAAUUGAUCGAUGAAUUUGGGUUCAGAUCUAGCUGUUAAUAUCAUCGACCGCAACAAUUCUGCUGCGAAUUUUGUAGUUAGAAUCAAGCUGUGAAUUUAAUUUGUGGAUGCAGCUCAUGAAAUAGUGGAAGAACCAACACUUCCUCAUGUCCAGGUAAUUUUUCACUUUUCUUCUUAUAUAUGAAGGUGACACCUUGUCUUCUUCUAUGUGUAGGUAACAAAAUCAUAUUUUUACCAAUCUCAUGGGCACGGUACAAGAAGAGAAUAAUGCACUUAGGAACCGCAUGAGUUCAAGUAUUUAAGAUGUGCUGCUACAAAAACUCCAAUAUCUCUAAUCCAAGA